UAGCAAAGGUCCCAGUGGAGUAAAAAAGUAAAAAACUCUGGUAAUUGAGGCCCCUCUAACAAUUGAAUGUAAAACCUUUGUAAUUUUGCUUAUUGGGCCGAAUUGUGGGAUGUACCAAUUAUCCUUUGUUUUGGUACUUCUGGAAUCCUUGUCUGUUGAUCC